UACGUAGGGCGCAAGCGUUGUCCGGAAUUAUUGGGCGUAAAGAGCUCGUAGGCGGUUUGUCGCGUCGAAUGUGAAAACCCGGGGCUCAACCCCGGGCCUGCAUUCGAUACGGGCAGACUAGAGUUCGGUAGGGGAGUCUGGAAUUCCUGGUGUAGCGGUGAAAUGCGCAGAUAUCAGGAGGAACACCGGUGGCGAAGGCGGCAUCCUGGACCGACACUGACGCUGAGGAGCGAAAGCCAGGGGAGCAAACGGG
rnacentral:rRNA from 1 species